rnacentral:rRNA from 1 species
AUUGAACGCUGGCGGCAGGCCUAACACAUGCAAGUCGAACGAGAGGCGGACGGGUGAGUAAUGACUGGGAAAGUGCCUGAUGGAGGGGGAUAAGUACUGGAAACGGUAGCUAAUACCGCAUACCAUCAGAUGUGCCCAGAUGGGAUUAGCUAGGUGGUGGGGUAACGGCCCACCAAGGCGACGAUCCGUAGCUGGUCUGAGAGGAUGACCAGCCACACUGGAACUGAGACACGGUCCAGACUCCUACGGGAGGCAGCAGUGGGGAAUAUUGGACAAUGGGCGCAAGCCUGAUGCAGCCAUGCCGCGUGUAUGAAGAAGGCCUUCGGGUUGUAAAGUACUUUCAGCGGGGAGGCGUUACCCACAGAAGAAGCACCGGCUAACUCCGUGCCAGCAGCCGCGGUAAUAC